GUCGUCAGUUCGUACUGUGAAGCAUCCUGUUAAGUCAGGCAACGAGCGAGACCCACGCCAACAGUUGCCAGCUCGUCCGUCCGGGAUGGUGGGGACACUGUUGGGACCGCCUCUGCUAAAGAGGAGGAAGGAAUGGGCAACGGUAGGUCAGCAUGCCCCGAAUUAUCUGGGCUACACGCGGGCUACAAUGGGUGGGACAAUGGGUAUCGACACCGAAAGGUGAAGGCAAUCUCCUAAACCCAUCCGUAGUUCGGAUUGUGGGCUGCAACUCGCCCGCAUGAAGCUGGAAUCUGUAGUAAUCGUGUCUCAAAAUGGCACGGUGAAUAUGUCCCUGCUCCUU
rnacentral:rRNA from 1 species